UACGUAGGGCGCAAGCGUUGUCCGGAAUUAUUGGGCGUAAAGAGCUCGUAGGCGGUUUGUCGCGUCUGUCGUGAAAGCUUGGGGCUUAACCCCAAGUCUGCGGUGGAUACGGGCAGACUAGAGGCAGGUAGGGGAGAACGGAAUUCCCGGUGUAGCGGUGAAAUGCGCAGAUAUCGGGAGGAACACCGGUGGCGAAGGCGGCGACCUGGGUAGAUACUGACGCUGAGGUGCGAAAGCGUGGGGAGCAAACAGG
rnacentral:rRNA from 1 species